AUUGAACGCUGGCGGCAGGCCUAACACAUGCAAGUCGAGCGGAUGAAGGGAGCUUGCUCCUGGAUUCAGCGGCGGACGGGUGAGUAAUGCCUAGGAAUCUGCCUGGUAGUGGGGGAUAACGUCCGGAAACGGGCGCUAAUACCGCAUACGUCCUGAGGGAGAAAGUGGGGGAUCUUCGGACCUCACGCUAUCAGAUGAGCCUAGGUCGGAUUAGCUAGUUGGUGGGGUAAAGGCCUACCAAGGCGACGAUCCGUAACUGGUCUGAGAGGAUGAUCAGUCAACCUGGACUUGGGCCCCGUUCCGAAUUCUUCGGGGGGCCGGCGUGGGGAAUAUUGGACCAUUGGGCGAAGCCCUGUCCCAGCCUGCCCGGGGGGUUAAGGAGGUCUUCCGAUUUUAAAGCCCCUUAAGUUUGGAGGAAGGGCAGUAAGUUAAUACCUUGCUGUUUUGACGUUACCAACAGAAUAAGCACCGGCUAACUUCGUG
rnacentral:rRNA from 1 species